GCCGCGAUAGCUCAAUGGCGGAGCGCUCCCCUGAUUCGGGAGAGGCUGCAGGUUCGAGUCCUGCUCGCGGUACCA
rnacentral:tRNA from 1 species